UACGUAGGGCGUAAGCGUUGUCCGGAAUUAUUGGGCGUAAAGAGCUCGUAGGCGGUUUGUCGCGUCUGCUGUGAAAACCUGAGGCUCAACCUCGGGCUUGCAGUGGGUACGGGCAGACUAGAGUGCGGUAGGGGUGACUGGAAUUCCUGGUGUAGCGGUGGAAUGCGCAGAUAUCAGGAGGAACACCGAUGGCGAAGGCAGGUCACUGGGCCGCAACUGACGCUGAGGAGCGAAAGCAUGGGGAGCGAACAGG
rnacentral:rRNA from 1 species